GAUGAACGCUGGCGGCGUGCCUAAUACAUGCAAGUCGAGCGAACAGACGAGGAGCUUGCUCCUCUGACGUUAGCGGCGGACGGGUGAGUAACACGUGGAUAACCUACCUAUAAGACUGGGAUAACUUCGGGAAACCGGAGCUAAUACCGGAUAAUAUAUUGAACCGCAUGGUUCAAUAGUGAAAGACGGUUUUGCUGUCACUUAUAGAUGGAUCUGCGCCGCAUUAGCUAGUUGGUAAGGUAACGGGUUACCAAGGCAACGAUGCGUAGCCGACCUGAGAGGGUGGUCGGCCACACUGGAACUGAGACACGGUCCAGACUCCUACGGGAGGCAGCAGUAGGGAAUCUUCCGCAAUGGGCGAAAGCCUGACGGAGCAACGCCGCGUGAGUGAUGAAGGUCUUCGGAUCGUAAAACUCUGUUAUUAGGGAAGAACAAAUGUGUAAGUAACUAUGCACGUCUUGACGGUACCUAAUCAGAAAGCCACGGCUAACUACGUG
rnacentral:rRNA from 1 species